UACGUAGGGUGCAAGCGUUGUCCGGAAUUAUUGGGCGUAAAGAGCUCGUAGGCGGUCAAUCGCGUCUGCUGUGAAAACUCGGGGCUUAACUCCGGGCCUGCAGUGGGUACGGGCUGACUAGAGUGCGGUAGGGGAGACUGGAAUUCCUGGUGUAGCGGUGAAAUGCGCAGAUAUCAGGAGGAACACCGGUGGCGAAGGCGGGUCUCUGGGCCGUAACUGACGCUGAGGAGCGAAAGCGUGGGGAGCGAACAGG
rnacentral:rRNA from 1 species